rnacentral:rRNA from 1 species
AAAUAGAUACCCCGGUAGUCCAUGCCGUAAACGUUGGGCACUAGGUGUGGGGCUCAUUUCCACGAGUUCCGUGCCGCAGCAAACGCAUUAAGUGCCCCGCCUGGGGAGUACGGCCGCAAGGCUAAAACUCAAAGGAAUUGACGGGGGCCCGCGACAAGCGGCGGAGCAUGCGGAUUAAUUCGAUGCAACGCGAAGAACCUUACCAAGGCUUGACAUGCACGGGAAGCCACCAGAGAUGGUGGUCUCUUUGGACGACUCGUGCACAGGUGGUGCAUGGUUGUCGUCAGCUCGUGUCGUGAGAUGUUGGGUUAAGUCCCGCAACGAGCGCAACCCUGUCCCAUGUUGCCAGCGGGUUAUGCCGGGGACUCAUGGGAGACUGCCGGGGUCAACUCGGAGGAAGGUGGGGAUGACGUCAAAUCAUCAUGCCCCUUAUGUCUUGGGCUUCACGCAUGCUACAAUGGCCGGUACAAAGGGCUGCGAUACCGUAAGGUGGAGCGAAUCCCAAAAAGCCGGUCUCAGUUCGGAUUGGGGUCUGA